AUUGACCUCAGAUCAGACAAGAUUACCCGCCGAAUUUAAGCAUAUUACUAAGCGGAGGAAAAGAAACUAACAAGGAUUCCCCUAGUAACGGCGAGCGAACCGGGAAGAGCCCAACUUGAAAAUCUGGCAGCUUCGCUGUCCGAAUUGUAGUCUAAAGAAGCGUCCUCUGUAGCGGACCGGGCCCAAGUUCCCUGGAAUGGGACGUCAGAGAGGGUGAGAGCCCCGUCGACCCCGGACCCUGCUACUCCACGAGGCGCUGUCGCCGAGUCGGGUUGUUUGGGAAUGCAGCCCUAAAUGGGUGGUAAAUUCCAUCUAAGGCU
rnacentral:rRNA from 1 species